UCAGGCACCUGGGGAGAAACCAAGCAAUUAGUUCUUGGGAACCGAGUGCCAGGUUGCAUACAGCUGAUAGACAAAAGGUUGCUACAAAGACGGAUAUUAGUCUGACCAUCCACUGAGGGUCAACACACCGAUUCGCCCCGUCUCAUUCUAGUCUGAGGGCUGUCAGCCUCACUGUGGCACCGAAUCCCCGCACAGUAUCUCAAAGACACUCUCUCCUCAUCUAUCGAGCGGAGUACCACGUAGUCCACUUCCUGCUGAGGAUGAGUGAGGAUCAUGGCAUCGCAAGGACAUGCUGUGAGGAGAGCCAUAGAGCACCUCCAUCAAGUGUGGACAUCGCUGAAUGUUAACGUGGGGAGAGGAGAUCGAAAAAUGGUUUCGGGUUACCUAGCCAGUGGUCCACACUCACCUGAGCAUCUGGUCCAG